CCUACGGGUGGCUGCAGUGGGGAAUAUUGGACAAUGGGGGGAACCCUGAUCUAGCCAUGCCGCGUGUGUGAAGAAGGCCCUCGGGUUGUAAAGCACUUUCAGUGAGGAAGAACGCCUGGUGGUUAAUACCCAUCAGGAAAGACAUCACUCACAGAAGAAGCACCGGCUAACUCCGUGCCAGCAGCCGCGGUAAUACGGAGGGUGCGAGCGUUAAUCGGAAUUACUGGGCGUAAAGCGCGCGUAGGUGGCUUGAUAAGCCGGUUGUGAAAGCCCCGGGCUCAACCUGGGUACGGCAUCCGGAACUGUCAAGCUAGAGUGCAGGAGAGGAAGGUAGAAUUCCCGGUGUAGCGGUGAAAUGCGUAGAGAUCGGGAGGAAUACCAGUGGCGAAGGCGGCCUUCUGGACUGACACUGACACUGAGGUGCGAAAGCGUGGGUAGCAAACAGGAUUAGAUACCCCAGUAGUC
rnacentral:rRNA from 1 species